AUGGACGCCAAGGUGUACGUCGGCGGUCUGCCGAGUGAUGCAACAUCACAAGAACUCGAAGAGAUUUUUGAUCGAUUUGGAAGGAUCCGUAAGGUUUGGGUAGCUCGUCGCCCUCCUGGAUUUGCGUUCGUGGAAUACGACGACGUUCGUGACGCUGAAGAUGCUGUCCGCGCUCUUGACGGAUCAAGAAUCUGUGGUGUCCGUGCUCGUGUUGAACUUUCAACUGGACAAAGACGUGGCGGUGGCGGUCGUGGUGGAGGUUUCGGCGGCCGAGGUGGUGGCGGAAGAGACAGGUUAGUUGAAAAUAAUUUGAUAGUUAAAGGAAAAGAGAGCUGUAUUAAAAAUUUUAUUCGGUAAAACCGUGGACCAAAUUUUUAAUUUUAGCGGACUCCGCUCGUCCGCGUCCCCAUCUGCCAUCCCAAACAUCACUAUCUUCCACUCCUCUCCGUCUUCUGUCUUCACGACACAUUCUUCUCUUCCACAUCGCUACGCGCCCUUUACUUCUCCCAAAAUCAUCGCACCAGAAUUGUUUUUGACUCUUUUCAUCAGUUAAUUCUCCGCAGUAGUUCCUGAAUCGAGCUUCUGACAAAAUCGUCUCAUCAUGCCUUCGUCGGCUGAAUCUUCCCAUUCAGUAAGAAAGUUACAUCUACCUUUCUUUAUGCUGCCAUCUGCAGGAAAGAUGUAUUCGACAAAUAUGCAAUAUUCGGAAUGUUUUAACAUUGUUUAUUUCAGAUCGCCAUACCGAGGAGACCGUGGACGUUCCCGUUCACGCUCUCGUGAUCGUGGACGUGAUCGCAGCCGCGACAGAAGCCGUGAUCGCAGUCGUGACCGAAGCAGAGAUCGCAGUCGUGAACGCAGUCGCGAAAGAGAACGUACUCGUUCAAGAUCUCGAUCUCCUCAAGAACGUGAUCGUUCUCACUCGAAGAGUCGCUCCCGCUCUCGAAGCCGUUCUCGCAGCCGUUCUGCUUCUCCGCACUAA